rnacentral:rRNA from 1 species
CCUACGGGACGCACCAGUGGGGAAUAUUGCACAAUGGGCGCAAGCCUGAUGCAGCCAUGCCGCGUGUAUGAAGGAGGCCUUCGGGUUGUAAAGUACUUUCAGCGGGGAGGAAGGUGUUGUGGUUAAUAACCACAGCAAUUGACGUUACCCGCAGAAGAAGCACCGGCUAACUCCGUGACAGCAGCCGCGGUAAUACGGAGGGUGCAAGCGUUAAUCGGAAUUACUGGGCGUAAAGCGCACGCAGGCGGUCUGUCAAGUCGGAUGUGAAAUCCCCGGGCUCAACCUGGGAACUGCAUUCGAAACUGGCAGGCUAGAGUCUUGUAGAGGGGGGUAGAAUUCCAGGUGUAGCGGUGAAAUGCGUAGAGAUCUGGAGGAAUACCGGUGGCGAAGGCGGCCCCCUGGACAAAGACUGGCGCUCAGGUGCGAAAGCGUGGGGAGCAAACAGGAUUAGAUACCCCCGUAGUC